rnacentral:misc_RNA from 1 species
GAUGAAGAACGUAGUGAAAUGCGAUAAGUAAUGUGAAUUGCAGAAUUCAGUGAAUCAUCGAAUCUUUGAACGCACAUUGCGCCCGCCAGUAUUCUGGCGGGCAUGCCUGUCCGAGCGUCAUUUCAACCCUCGGGCCCCCCUCUGCGGGCGGCCCGGCGUUGGGGCUCAGGCGCCGUCUCUGCUCGGCGCCUGUCCCCUAAAUGCAGUGGUGGCCUCGCCGCUGCCUCCUCCGCGUAGUAGCACAAACCUCGCGGCUGGAAGGCGGCGCGGCCACGCCGUAAAACCCCCCAACUUUACCAAGGUUGACCUCGGAUCAGGUAGGAAUACCCGCUGAACUUAAGCAUAUCAAUAAGCGGAGGA